GACGAACGCUGGCGGCGUGCUUAACACAUGCAAGUCGAACGGAAAGGCCCUGCUUUUGUGGGGUGCUCGAGUGGCGAACGGGUGAGUAACACGUGAGUAACCUGCCCUUGACUUUGGGAUAACUUCAGGCAACUGGGGCUAAUACCGGAUAGGAGCUCCUGCUGCAUGGUGGGGGUUGGAAAGUUUCGGCGGUUGGGGAUGGACUGGGGGGUUAUCAGCUUGUUGGUGGGGUAGUGGCUUACCAAGGGUUCGAUGGGUAGCCGGCCUGAGAGGGUGACCGGGCACAAGGGGACUGAGAUACGGCCCAGAGUCGUACGGGAGGCAGCGGGGGGGAGUAUUGCACAAUGGGGGGAAGCCUGAUGCGGCAACGCCGCGUGCGGGAUGAAGUCCUUCGUGUUAUGAACCGCAUUAGCCUGAGACGAAGCGUGAGUGACGGUAAUGGGUAAAGAAGCACCGGCUAACUACGUG
rnacentral:rRNA from 1 species